AAAGACCCCGUGCACCUUUACUACAGCUUCGCACUGGCAUCAGGAUUGUGAUGUGCAGGAUAGGUGGUAGGCUUUGAAGCAGGAACGCAAGUACCUGUGGAGCCUCCCUUGAGAUACCACCCUUCGCACUCUUGAUGUCUAACCGCGGUCCGUUAUCCGGAUCCGGGACCCUGCGUGGCGGGUAGUUUGACUGGGGCGGUCGCC
rnacentral:rRNA from 1 species